UGAUUCAUCUGUGGGCUGUUUGAUAUUAUGGGCCAAAAGCUCUGACAUAAUUUCCAGGGCGAAGAGCCUGUUGAGUGUCUGGUCGUCUUUCUGUAACUAUUGUCUCUUACUGAUGGAUGGCUGAUUAUUUUAUAUGUGCUGCUUAAACAAACGCUACACCCCGUCACAGUUAGUUUACAGUAUGUGGUGAGCUGUUAUCGGAAAGUCAAGAAUAUUCCUGUAAAGAUCGCUGUAGUGUCUUGGCGUGGGUCAAAGCGUGAGAGCAGUUCAAACAAAGCGAGAUAUGAAGGCUACAAGCUUGGGAUUGACCUUUGGAGGCGUGGGGUGAAAUGUGUGGAUGAUUUGGAGAUUCACUCACAAGGUGAAGGAUGAAGGGGAAUAAAUAUGUCAACAGCUCUGCGUAAAGACGAGAGGUUAAUCAUAGCACCAUAAUGCAAACAGCAUUAUACAACUGCUUCACGUUUGUCCUUCACUGUUUGUUAAAUAUUCACAGAGGGCACUGGGUCACAACACAAUGAGCCUGCAGCAAAACAACCGACUGGGAGAAGUUCCCAUACGUCUUUUUAUUGAUGAUUCAGGCACCUCGCUGCAUGUCCCAACAAAUCUUCAGUGAAAUCUCUUCUCUUUGUCUAUGCCUCAGAGGAAUGCCAUUGUUUUUGUUCUGAUAAGUGCUUUUGCAACUCCGUCUGUGUCUCCAAAUCCCAGGGAUUCCUCAGAUAACGCAGUGAUUCUUCUGAACAAUGCCAAGUUUGUCCAGGCGUUUUUCUGGGCCUCACGCUGUCUGUUUGUCCACCGAAAGAGGAAUUUUCCACCGCGUGCCUUCCCCGGAGAGAGCGGCUUUCUUCUUCUCGCCUUGUUUUAUAGACACAGGUGGAAGUGGGUCACUGCAGUUUUUCCAUCGAGAAAAUGCAUCUGCGAGAGGAUGUUAAUUUGCACUUGUGAUCAUGGCCUGUCAGUGCCAUUUAAAUAUAGCACGGUGUCACCGCUUUGACGCAACAGGAACAAGCACGUCGGUCGUCCGCCUCGCCCAGCUGGCUUUGAUGCUGCCGUGCAGACAAAGCAAACAUGUGGGAGAACAUCGUGAGCAAUGCUUUGUGCACAAAUUAAAAAUAACUGCAUUUACAACAUAAUGCGCUGUGUUCAAAGAAGUGAAGUGCUGUACAAGUGACACCAAAUCACGCCACACACACACCUAAUCCUCUUAAACAUUUGCUCAGCCAAUCUAAUUUUAUCUGCAGGCCUGAACUGAGCUGAAUGACUGACUCUGUGACGAUCUGUCUCCAGCUGCAACGCUGGGUCUUCCUGCACAGAUGAAGACCAAAGGGGCAAUAUUGUGGACAUGUUGAACAAAAUUACUAAAAGUGAAUCAGAGUCGUGGCACAUCAGAGAGAGUGCACUAAGGAGUCUGGGUUACACAUACACUGAUCAGCCACAACAUUAACACCACUGACAGAUGAAGUGAAUAACAUUCAUCAUAUGUUUACAAUGCAGGGAAACUUUGGAUUCUGGCAAUCAAACCUAAACAUUGCAGACCACAUACAAACACACCCCCAAAGGCAGCGGAGGCUUUGGAGCUUUGACUUGUCAGGGGAAGGCACUCAGGACCUCUAGGGGUAUUUUGUGGUCCCCAGCAUUGGAUCCUUUGGUUGCUGUGCAGGCCUCCAGGUGGUGCAAAUGCAAGUGUCAAGCAGCUGGUUCAUUUAACCAGAUCAGAGAUGAAAGGAUGCGGCGAGGGCCUCUGCUCUCGCCGCCUGCUGCUCAGCAGCCUUUGAAGUUUGCCGUGUGCAGACUCAGUUUGGGAUAAAAGAGCAUCUUGCAUCUUUUACAGGUACUUUGAAAACAUCUCCCUGGAAACCUUGUAUUCACUUGACUUAACAGUGUGAAACACCACUGCUGCAUGUCCUGGCAUCAGCCUGACGCAGCAGGAUGAAGCAGACUGCAGUGUGUUUAUAUAGAAGAGGACGAUGAGUUGGGCUCGUGUAGCCGCCCUACAUCCAAGGAGACUCCAAACAUAGCUCAACUUGUACAGGCAGCAGAUUAUCCAGCAAUGUGAACGGUGUGAAGUAUCACAGUCUGGACAUCUGUGAUACACACCGAACCUCAGAGUGUAAACAUAUUGAGUUAUUGCUGCCUCUGUGAGUGCAUUGGACUAUGCAAUAGCUGGAAUCAUUAGAGCAGAUUCAUGCCUGCUGUGAAUCAUUAAUAUUUAGGUCUGAGACGCCAGGCAAGCUUAACUUAUACAUUUUGAAGAGCGCUAAAGAUGUCAUUUACAGUUUUUAACUGUUAGAGAAUGUAUGCUUGUCUCAUUAGCAACAUGAAGAAGACAUAGAAUAUAAAGUUUAAAGGGCCACAUGUUUUAUGAGGUGUUUUUUCCUGCUGAGGGCUUUUAUUUCUUCCUCUGGGCAUCAGAUGUGAGACAGAAUGUUUCAUGGAAAGUUUCAUUAUAUCAAAUAAAUUA